GACAGAGGGUGCUAGCGUUGUUCGGAAUGACUGGGCGUAAAGGGCGCGUAGGCGGUUUUUCAAGUCAGAUGUGAAAGCCCCGGGCUUAACCUGGGAACGGCAUUUGAUACUGGAUGACUGGAGUACGAGAGAGGAAAGCGGAAUUCCUAGUGUAGAGGUGAAAUUCGUAGAUAUUAGGAGGAACACCAGAGGCGAAGGCGCUUUCUGGCUCGUAACUGACGCUGAGGCGCGAAAGCGUGGGGAGCAAACAGG
rnacentral:rRNA from 1 species